CGACCCAUUUCUUUAGUGAAUGAGUCGAUCGAUUCCAGUUGUAACAAAGAUAACAAGCAAAAUGGUAAAAAUAGAGCUUAAACGAAAACGGGUCAAAUGGGUUGAAUAGAUUGAACGACAUCAAACUAAAACUUUUAAUGCAUAAAACCUCCUAAAUCUUUUGUUCACAAAUAACUGGAUUAUUACUGAAAUGAUAUAAAUUUUGUAAUAAUAUUUUACAGUUGACACGCUAAGUGUUUAGAAAAACUGGUCUAAGAGUUUCUUUUUAACCUGACCCGUUUCAAGUGAUCCAGAAAAUGCCCACCUUGACCUGUCACCCAACUCACCCAUUUCGCCACAUCUACCAAAUAUGACGGGUUGAUACGUUAAAUAACCAAGCUUACCAUAUUGUGCUUGUUGAUCUGCCAGACAGGAACAGGGUUCAUCAAAGUAGAUAACACAAAUGGCUUCAACUUAGUCCCGGAAUCUGAAUUUGAACAUCAUGCUUCUUGCAAGGGGAACCCCGCUACCAACGAGUGGACCCCAGCACCUACUGACACGGCAUCUUUUGUGUCCACUAAACCUCCUAGAAGUGAUAACUGAAAUGGAUUCAUUGCUGCAAAUGUCAUGAAAUAGCAUCCACAAUACUAGUGAUUGCAUUUUCAGUAUUAAAGCUACUGUGUACGUCUGUUCCGAGGAAUUGUGUGUAACUGAAACUAAGAUGUGUUUGCGCUAAUGAAUAAUACAUUUGACGAUGCUAUUCAAUUUGCUUGCUGCUUAAUUUAAA